rnacentral:rRNA from 1 species
ACGAAUGCUGGCGGCGUGCUUAACACAUGCAAGUCGAACGGAAAGGCCCUGCUUGCAGGGUACUCGAGUGGCGAACGGGUGAGUAACACGUGGGUGAUCUGCCCUGCACUUCGGGAUAAGCCUGGGAAACUGGGUCUAAUACCGGAUAGGAGCCAUUUUUAGUGUGAUGGUUGGAAAGUUUUUUCGGUGUAGGAUGAGCUCGCGGCCUAUCAGCUUGUUGGUGGGGUAAUGGCCUACCAAGGCGGCGACGGGUAGCCGGCCUGAGAGGGUGGACGGCCACAUUGGGACUGAGAUACGGCCCAGACUCCUACGGGAGGCAGCAGUGGGGAAUAUUGCACAAUGGGCGCAAGCCUGAUGCAGCGACGCCGCGUGGGGGAUGACGGCCUUCGGGUUGUAAACCCCUUUCGCUAGGGACGAAGCUUUUGUGACGGUACCUGGAUAAGAAGCACCGGCUAACUACGUG